rnacentral:rRNA from 1 species
AUUGAACGCUGGCGGCAUGCCUUACACAUGCAAGUCGAACGGCAGCACGGGUGCUUGCACCUGGUGGCGAGUGGCGAACGGGUGAGUAAUACAUCGGAACAUGUCCUGUAGUGGGGGAUAGCCCGGCGAAAGCCGGAUUAAUACCGCAUACGAUCCACGGAUGAAAGCGGGGGACCUUCGGGCCUCGCGCUAUAGGGUUGGCCGAUGGCUGAUUAGCUAGUUGGUGGGGUAAAGGCCUACCAAGGCGACGAUCAGUAGCUGGUCUGAGAGGACGACCAGCCAAAAUGGGACUGAGACACGGCCCAGAAUCCUAAGGGAGGCAGCAGUGGGGAAUUUUGGAAAAUGGGCGAAAGCCUGAUCCAGCAAUGCCGCGUGGGGGAAGAAGGCCUUCGGGUUGUAAAGCACUUUUGUCCGGAAAGAAAUCCUUGACUCUAAUACAGUCGGGGGAUGACGGUACCGGAAGAAUAAGCACCGGCUAACUACGUG